UACAGAGGGUGCGAGCGUUGUCCGGAAUCACUGGGCGUAAAGGGCGCGUAGGCGGCCUGAUAAGUAGGGGGUGAAAUCCCGUGGCUUAACUGCAGGGCUGCCUCCUAGACUGUUAGGCUCGAGCACGGUAGAGGCAGAUGGAAUUCCCGGUGUAGCGGUGGAAUGCGUAGAGAUCGGGAAGAACAUCGGUGGCGAAGGCGGCAUCCUGGACCGGUAUUGACGCUGAGGCGCGAAAGCCAGGGGAGCAAACGGG
rnacentral:rRNA from 1 species